UACGUAGGGUGCAAGCGUUGUCCGGAAUUAUUGGGCGUAAAGAGCUCGUAGGCGGUCUGUCGCGUCUGGUGUGAAAAUCCAGGGCUUAACCCUGGACCUGCAUCGGGUACGGGCAGACUAGAGUGCGGUAGGGGAGAUCGGAAUUCCUGGUGUAGCGGUGAAAUGCGCAGAUAUCAGGAGGAACACCGGUGGCGAAGGCGGCGACCUGGUCCAAUAUUGACACUCAUACACGAAAGCGUGGGGAUCAAACAGG
rnacentral:rRNA from 1 species